rnacentral:rRNA from 1 species
AUUGAACGCUGGCGGCAUGCUUUACACAUGCAAGUCGAACGGUAACAGGCCGCAAGGUGCUGACGAGUGGCGAACGGGUGAGUAAUGCAUCGGAACGUGCCCAGUCGUGGGGGAUAACUACUCGAAAGAGUAGCUAAUACCGCAUACGAUCUAUGGAUGAAAGCGGGGGACCGUAAGGCCUCGCGCGAUUGGAUCGGCCGAUGUCAGAUUAGGUAGGUGGUGGGGUAAAGGCGCACCAAGCCAACGAUCUGUAGCUGGUCUGAGAGGACAACCAGCCACACUGGGACUGAGACACGGCCCAGACUCCUACGGGAGGAAGCAGUGGGGAAUUUUGGACAAUGGGCGCAAGCCUGAUCCAGCAAUGCCGCGUGCAGGAAGAAGGCCUUCGGGUUGUAAACUGCUUUUGUACGGAACGAAACGGCUCUGGUUAAUACCCGGGGCUAAUGACGGUACCGUAAGAAUAAGCACCGGCUAACUACGUG